rnacentral:rRNA from 1 species
CCCAGGUCCAAGAGUGACAACAUCGGGGCUGCCUUCGGGCGAGCCGUUCGCGUUGCUGGCGGAUAGCUGGAGGGGGACGCAGGAAGGUAGGUGAACCGGGGCGAUGGUUGUCCCCCGGUAAGCGUGUAGGAGGAUCCCGAUGAGAGUUGGGGUCAUUAACUCUGAGACGUGAUGCCGAGCCGAUUAAGGCGAAGUCACUGAUCCUAUGCUGCCAAGAAAAGCCCAACAGUGAGUUGGCACGGCACCCGUACCCCAAACCGACACAGGUGGGCGGGUAGAGAAUACCAAGGCGAUCGGGAGAACUAUGGUUAAGGAACUCGGCAAAUUGCAUCCGUAACUUCGGGAGAAGGAUGACCCUAUUAGGGUGAAGGGAUUUACUCCCAGAGCUCGAGAGGGUGGCACAGACCAGGGGGUAGCGACUGUUUACCAAAAACACAGCAGCGUGCCAAGCCGCAAGGCGCAGUAUACGCUGUGACGCCUGCCCAAUGCUGGAAGGUCACGGGGAACGGUUAGUCGUAAGGCGAAGCUGUGAACCUAAGCCCCAGUGAAUGGCGGCCGUAACUAUAACGGUCCUAAGGUAGCGAAAUUCCUUGUCGGGUAAGUUCCGACCUGCACGAAUGGCGUAACGACUUCCCCACUGUCUCAACCAUAGGCCCGGCGAAAUUGAAGUACGAGUAAAGAUGCUCGUUAGCUGCGGAAGGACGAAAAGACCCCAUGGACCUUUACUAUAACUUGAUAUUGAGCUUUGUCCUGCAUUGUGUAGGAUAGGUGGGAGACUUGGAAGCGGAGGCGCCAGCUAUCGUGGAGUCAACGUCGAAAUACCACCCUGUGUAUGACGGGGCUCUAACCUGGGUCCAUUAUCUGGAUCAGGAACAGUGUCAGGCGGGUAGUUUGACUGGGGCGGUCGCCUCCUAAAAUGUAACGGAGGCGCCCAAAGGUUCCCUCAGGCUGGUUGGCAAUCAGCCGUCGAGUGCAAUGACACAAGGGAGCUUGACUGCGAGACUGACAGGUCAAGCAGGUGCGAAAGCAGGGCAUAGUGACCCGGCCAUCACGUGUGGAAGUGUGGUCGCUCAACGGAUAAAAGGUACCCUGGGGAUAACAGGCUAAUCUCCCCCAAGAGUCCAUAUCGACGGGGAGGUUUGGCACCUCGAUGUCGGCUCAUCGCAUCCUGGGGCUGAAGCAGGUCCCAAGGGUUGGGCUGUUCGCCCAUUAAAGCGGUACGCGAGCUGGGUUCAGAAUGUCGUGAGACAGUUCGGUCUCUAUCCUCCGCAGCCGAAGGUGUAUUGAGGAAGGCUGUCCCUAGUAGGAGAGGACCGGGACGGACGGAGCUCUGGUGUGUCUGUUGUCCUGCCAAGGGCAUUGCAGAUUAGCCACCUCCGGAAGGGAUAACUGCUGAAAGCAUCUAAGUAGGAAACCCGUUCCAAGAUGAGUACACCCAUGCGGUUAACGCAGUAAGGCCCGUGACAAGACCAUCACGUUGAUAGGCCGGAGGUGUAAGCACGGUAACGUGUGUAGCCGACCGGUACUAAUCGGCC